rnacentral:rRNA from 1 species
CAAGAGCGUAUAUUAAAGUUGUUGCAGUUAAAAGCUCGUAGUUGGAUUUCUGGUAUAAUGCGCCUGGCCCGCGGCGGUUACGUCUGUGAGUGCCGGUGCGCGUUUACCAUCCUUCUAGAAAACGUUUCUACCCUUUACUGGGCCGGACUCGCGAUCUAGAUCUUUUACUUUGAAAAAUUAGAGUGUUUAAAGCAGGCUUUUGCUAUGAAUACAUUAGCAUGGAAUAAUAAUCUAGGACUUCGGUUCUAUUUUGUUGGUUUCUUAUAACUUGAAGUAAUGAUUGAUAGGGAUAGUUGGGGUUGGCGUAGUAUUGGCCGGCCACGAGGUGAAUUCUUGGAUUCGGUCAAGACUAACUUAUGCGAAAGCAUUCACC